GCCGACAUGGGGGAAAACCAUCACAGGGAUGUGGAGAUGAAGGAAAAGGAUAAUAGAACAGCAUGUGAUUUCCCACAAGUGAUUUAGUGUGGUCUAAAUGAAGCCUGAGUCCUCCUGCUCCAGAGAUAUUCUAUGAAAGCAUUGGGGAUCUAGAAACCACACACAUGACAUCCAGGCAAUCUGUUACAUGUAAAGGAGACCAAAACAGAAUUUAAGGAUGGGCCACUUUUCUCUCAUAAGUUUAAAGAAGUUCUGAUAUAUGUAUUAUAGAGAUAUCUCUCUGAUCUAUUUCUCAUCCACCAUACAAAAUAUACCUUCGAAUGACAUGAGAUUGUUGUGGGCAAAUAAUCUGAGGAGAAGAUGAAGAAUCACUGUUGCUUCUGCCACUGUUUAUGAGACUGGCCUUGCCAAACUACUGUAGUUGAAACUGGAGGCAAAAUGCACGCAGAAGAUUAAAGAAAGCUGGAAUUAAUGAUAUGGACUAUGCCCAGGUCUGCCUCCCUCAUUUGUAUACAUAAAUUACAGAAAGCAGCAUUGAAAUAUGGAAAGUGAUUUGUAUUGCAGGAUGAAGUGAUGCAGAGAUUAAAAUAUGUGUUAAAAAUAAGCAUAUGUUAGAAAAGAUGUUUCCUCCUUUAAACAUGUACAAGCACUAAGAACUUGUCAACAAAUACAUUAAAUGUUUUCAAGACCUCAGUGACCAAUGUUGAUAACAGCGAGGAAAGAAAGUUGACAGACAAUCUGCACUUUUCUGCUACAAAUCAAAUCCACCAGCUGUGCACGGACUGCAUGUUGACCCUCCCUUUCUUCUCUUCCUUCUCUUCCUUCAUCUUCAGGGCACCACAAAGAUCUUCUCCUAUAGUCCUCAUCAACAGCCAUCCAAUUGUCUCAGCUGCCAACUCCCACAGCAGGUCUCUGGAAACAAGCUGGCCAUGGUAGCCAGGGAAGCAGAUUGGUGAUCUUAACACUUUCCUCUGACCUCCAAAUCAAACCCCUAGAUUUAUCCCUAGCUAUGGCCAGGGAUUACUACAGAUUCUGGUGCCACAUCUUGCUUUCCUCCUUCCUGUGAAGCCCUUCAUCUGAACCUCCUUCUGCCUGUGUAACUCAUUCCUUAAUGUCAGUCCCAAUACCUAGAAGCACAUUCUAUUUGGAACCCCAGUGGCCAUACUUGGCAGCAUCCUAGAAGCAUUUCCUACCAAGCAACACAAAACCAACACAUCUACUAAGACUUCACAAAGUGAUAGAAACUAAGGAAAGUGACACCAACCAAAGAAGAGAGAAGCAGUUAUCAAAACCUAUAAUUUCCAUAAACCAAACCCCAGAUGCCUAGAUAGCAACAUAAAAAUAAAAUUAAAGCAGUGAAGAUAACAUACAUCCACUAGAGUCCAACAAUCUUAUCACCCUGGGCCCUGAAAGAUUCAAAGAGCUGAAACAUAAGACAAGGACUUCACAUUGCAUUUAUGAUAAGUUGUAGAUUCUUAGAGAGUCUAUGAAUUAAAAGAGAAUAAUUCAUUGAUGUGAGACAUUUGAAAAUGCAAUCAGUAGAGUAAAAUAAACAAUAUUUCAAGACAUGAAAAUAUAUUUAUAAUUAAGGAUGAAAAUUUAAACUCAGAGAAAACUUGAAAGAAUAAACUAAUGAACUUGACCAGGAACCUCAGACAUAAACCUCAUCAACAUAGUACAAGAAAUAGAAGAAAAAAUGUUAGGAAUUGGAGACAAGGUAGAAGACAUAAAUACCUUGGUCAUAGAAAGUGUUUACUUUUUAAAAAUUCAGACA
rnacentral:sRNA from 1 species